rnacentral:rRNA from 1 species
GACGAACGCUGGCGGCGUGCUUAACACAUGCAAGUCGAACGGUAAGGCCCUUCGGGGUACACGAGUGGCGAACGGGUGAGUAACACGUGGGUGAUCUGCCCUGCACUUCGGGAUAAGCCUGGGAAACUGGGUCUAAUACCGGAUAGGACCACUGCCUGCAUGGGUGGUGGUGGAAAGCUUUUGCGGUGUGGGAUGGGCCCGCGGCCUAUCAGCUUGUUGGUGGGGUGAUGGCCUACCAAGGCGACGACGGGUAGCCGGCCUGAGAGGGUGACCGGCCACACUGGGACUGGGAUACGGCCCAGACUCCUACGGGAGGCAGGAGUGGGGAAUAUUGCACAAUGGGCGCAAGCCUGAUGCAGCGACGCCGCGUGAGGGAUGACGGCCUUCGGGUUGUAAACCUCUUUCAGCACCGACGAAGCGCAAGUGACGGUAGGUGCAGAAGAAGGACCGGCCAACUACGUGCCAGCCGCCGCUGUAA